rnacentral:rRNA from 1 species
UACGGAGGGUGCUAGCGUUGUUCGGAAUUACUGGGCGUAAAGGGCACGUAGGCGGUUUGUCAAGUUGGAAGUGAAAUCCCAGGGCUCAACCCUGGAACUGCUUUCAAAACUGGCAUACUAGAGUUAAGUAGAGGAUAGUGGAAUUCCUAAUGUAGAGGUGAAAUUCGUAGAUAUUAGGAGGAACACCAGAAGCGAAGGCGACUAUCUGGGCUUAUACUGACGCUGAGGCGCGAAAAGUGUGGGGAGCAACAGGAUUAGAUACCCCCGUAGUCC